rnacentral:rRNA from 1 species
AACGAACGCUGGCGGCAUGCCUAACACAUGCAAGUCGAACGAGCCCUUCGGGUCUAUGCGCGCACGAGUUCGUAACGCGUGGGAACCUUCCCUUAUGGUCGGAAUAACUCCCCGACAGGGGUGCUAAUACCGGAUAAUGUCUUCUGACCAAAGAUUUAUCGCCUUUGGAUGGUCCCGCGUUGGAUUAGCUAGUUGGUAGGGUAAAAGCCUACCAAGGCGACGAUCCAUAGCUGGUCAGAGAGGAUGAUCAGCCACACUGGGACUGAGACACGGCCCAGACUCCUACGGGAGGCAGCGGUGGGGAAUAUUGGACAAUGGGCGAAAGCGUGAUCCAGCAAUGCAGCGUGAGUGAUGAAGGCCUUAGGAUUGUAAAGGUCUUUUAACCGGGAUGAUAAUGACAGUACCGGGAGAAUAAGCUCCGGCUAAAUCCGUG